rnacentral:rRNA from 1 species
AUGUCCACCCAAACCCGAGAGAUUUCGCUCACAAAAAGAAAAAAACAAACCCGAGAGAUUCCCAGUCUGUGCAGGAACAAACCCCGGAUCGAGAAGUCGGCGGCGGCGGCGGCGGAAUCAGAGGACAUGUCGGCCAACUGCGAGAGGGAGCGGGAGGAGGCCAGGGAGCUCGCCAAGUACGAGGAGGACUGCAAGGAGUACAAGGUGACCCUGUACCUGCUCGCCAUGCUCAUCUCGAUGGCCUUGGCGGGCCUCAUCGCCGGCUUCCUCGUCCCGCGCACGCCCCAGUGGUACAGCCUCUACUGCUGGCAGACCGCUCUGGUCUUCUUCUUUUCCUUCGCGAUCCUCUUCGGGUUUCACACGCGGAAGUUCGGCUUGUCCGGUCUUCCCCGGAGGCCAGAUCCUGAGGCCCAACUUGGUGGUGGAGGAGGAGACGGCCGCUGA